UAGGGAAUCUUCCACAAUGGACGCAAGUCUGAUGGAGCAACGCCGCGUGAGUGAAGAAGGUUUUCGGACCGUAAAGCUCUGUUGUUGGUGAAGAAGGAUAGAGGUAGUAACUGGCCUUUAUUUGACGGUAAUCAACCAGAAAGUCACGGCUAACUACGUGCCAGCAGCCGCGGUAAUACGUAGGUGGCAAGCGUUGUCCGGAUUUAUUGGGCGUAAAGCGAGCGCAGGCGGAAGAAUAAGUCUGAUGUGAAAGCCCUCGGCUUAACCGAGGAAUUGCAUCGGAAACUGUUUUUCUUGAGUGCAGAAGAGGAGAGUAGAACUCCACGUGUAGCGGUGGAAUGCGUAGAUAUAUGGAAGAAUACCAGUGGCGAAGGCGGCUCUCUGGUCUGCAACUGACGCUGAGGCUCGAAAGCAUGGGUAGCGAACAGGAUUAGAUACCCUGGUAGUCCAUGCCGUAAACGAUGAGUGCUAAGUGUUG
rnacentral:rRNA from 1 species